UACGUAGGUGGCGAGCGUUGUCCGGAAUCAUUGGGCGUAAAGAGCGCGUAGGUGGCUUGUCAGGUCUGAUGUGAAAUUUCGGGGCUCAACCCCGAACGUGCAUCGGAAACCGGCUUGCUAGAGUCUGGGAGAGGAGAGUGGAAUUCCUGGUGUAGCGGUGAAAUGCGUAGAUAUCAGGAGGAACACCGGUAGCGAAGGCGGCUCUCUGGAACAGUACUGACGCUGAGGCGCGAAAGCUAGGGGAGCGAAC
rnacentral:rRNA from 1 species